rnacentral:rRNA from 1 species
UGGAGCCUACGGGAGGCAGCAGUGGGGAAUAUUGCACAAUGGGGGAAACCCUGAUGCAGCGACGCCGCGUGAGUGAGGAAGUAUUUCGGUAUGUAAAGCUCUAUCAGCAGGGAAGAAAAUGACGGUACCUGACUAAGAAGCCCCGGCUAACUACGUGCCAGCAGCCGCGGUAAUACGUAGGGGGCAAGCGUUAUCCGGAUUUACUGGGUGUAAAGGGAGCGUAGACAGACUUGCAAGUCUGAUGUGAAAAUCCGGGGCCCAACCCCGGAACUGCAUUGGAAACUGUAUAUCUAGAGUGUCGGAGG